UCUCUGCAACUAUAAGUUCAAUGGAGAUCGAGUCUGCUUAUUGACUUCCUCUCCUACCUCUUCCAUUAUUUUCUCUCAAUCGACUCGUUUUCUUUACAAUGUCUCCAGAUCCAGAAGGUGGAGUAGAAGUCAAUACCCUCUAACAAAUAAUCGAUUUCAAUGUCUGUGAUUUCAAUUAUAAAAUCCUACUCGCGAUUACUUGGGGAUUUAGGGUUGCGGUUUACUUCAGCCGAUUCCUAUUGUGAUUCCUGGUGAUGAUAGUGUGGCCGCGGUGAUGAAGUAGAAGAUGUCUCAGUUUGCUAAUAAGAUUGCUCGUUAAAUUUAUUAUCUAUUUUGUGAGUUGAAUUGGAGACAAAGAAGUUAACAUACACAGGUAUAGAUUUUUUCUUUUACAAGCAUGUAAAUGAUGGUUCUGGAUUGAAAGCUCCACUUAUUGCUGAUGAUGUUUAUGAUAUAAUCAUGAAGAGAUUUUGAUUUUGACUAUUUUGGUUUCAAAACCCUUGAAAGAUCUUACCUGUUGAAGGUUCAAGGGAAGGUUGUAGAAAGAGCACAACAUAUGUUGAGGAGAGUUGCUGUUGGAAUCCACAAAGACAAUAUUGAGUCUGUUCUCAAAACAUACCAUCUUAUGUCACAGGGUUGGUUCACCCAUGCUUCUUCUACUCUUUUCAAUGCAGGGACACCAAGGCCUCAAGUAACGAAGCCUCGCGAGUUCCACUUUGCAAUUGAUGAAUGGAUUCCUCCAGCAAGAACAGUUUUUGAGUUGUUUGACAAGGUACAAACAACAUAAUCACGUUUCUCUUAUAACUUUCAUUAAACUCAGAACGCCGUCACAAUGAGCAGCUAUAUUUUGGGGAUACAUGAGUUGGUCUCUUUAUUUUGUAAGGUGAAGCUAUGUAAAAGAAUUUGAUGUCCAAUAAUGAACUUAGUGUCCAAGUUUUCAUAAUUUGAACUAAUAAUUUUGGUCCAGAUUGUAAAUUGAAUUUGAGCUCCACUUGAGAUAAUCAUUUGUGU